AACGACAACGGGGGGCUGGCGCACGCCGGCUGAGAUUGGGCCCAGGAUCGCGGCCCUGACCCAGGAACCUGAUCCGGGUAAUGCCGGCGUAGGGACGAGCUUCGCGCGCAAC
rnacentral:ncRNA from 1 species